GACGAACGCUGGCGGCGUGCUUAACACAUGCAAGUCGUACGGUAAGGCCCUUUCGGGGGUACACGAGUGGCGAACGGGUGAGUAACACGUGAGUAACCUGCCCACAACUUUGGGAUAACGCUAGGAAACUGGUGCUAAUACUGGAUAUGUGCUCCUGCUGCAUGGUGGGGGUUGGAAAGCUCCGGCGGUUGUGGAUGGACUCGCGGCCUAUCAGCUUGUUGGUGGGGUAGUGGCCUACCAAGGCGGCGACGGGUAGCCGGCCUGAGAGGGUGACCGGCCACAUUGGGACUGAGAUACGGCCCAGACUCCUACGGGAGGCAGCAGGGGGGAAUAUUGCACAAUGGGCGCAAGCCUGAUGCAGCAACGCCGCGGGCGGGAUGACGGCCUUCGGGUUGGAAACCGCUUUCAGCAGGGACGAAGCUUUUUGUGACGGUACCUGCAGAAGAAGCACCGGCUAACUACGUG
rnacentral:rRNA from 1 species